CUUCCAGUUGAGGCCACACCUUUUCCAGAUGAGGCCAUGCCCCCUCAGGACUCCAGCAGGACCCCUAAAUCCUGUAAGUUACUUUCACCCCUGCCUCCCCCUCUGCUCAAUUAUAUCCUUCAUGAGGCGGGGCUGCUGAGCUCAGGACAACAGAGAAGAAAAGAACACUACCCCAGCAAGCUCUGCUGCCUGUUCUCAACUGGCAUCCUGGGAUUGGCUGGACAGCAGAAGGCGUGGCUGAGAAUUUUUGCUGACUCCCUGCCCCACACACAUCUGGUCCUGGCAGCAGGCCCUGGUGUUGCCCCUUCCCAGCAGAGCACUGAGAUUUGGGCUGACUACAUAGUAAGAGUCAGCGCCUGCCUUGAAGAGCUUACAUUCUAAACAGACAAGGGAAGAAAGGAAAUAUUGUGAUCCUCAUUAUACAGAUGGAGAGGCUGAGGUGCAGAGAGAUUAAUGAUUUGCCCAGGGUUAUAGCGGAAAUCUGCGGCAGAGACAGGAAAUGAAUCCAGGUCUGCUGAGCAGCAAUCCAGUGCCUCAGCCAAAAGACCAACCUUCCACUGGAAGUCACGUUACUGGUAAUUGGUGUAUCGGGAAAAUCCCCCUAAGCGAAGCAUCCUGACCGCAAAUUACCGCAGCUCUCAGCAUUUCUUCAUCCACUUUGCAGCUAAGGCAGUAGCUGAAGCGUUGUGGCAGCUUUUCACAGUGCUCUCUUGCCCACCCUCCUGUCCUGCACACGUGGAGAUUGGGACACAGGAUGCCCUGGAUGUUACCAUAUCAGGGACUGUUGUGCACGUUUCCAGGCUGCUGAAUACCUGACUGGUAUCUAUAGAGAACAUUCCCUUCCCAGCGAGGCAGGGGCUGUGCUCAGGCAGGCAGGACGGCCAUACACUCCCCCCCCCUAGAAGAAUGAGUGUGUAAAUGUUUAGUGCCCGGCUGUUUAGCCCUUGCACACAUUAGUGAGCACUUCCCUAUGUGACAUGUCCCCCUGAAGUCAGUGGAGUUGUUGGUGGCUGUAAGAGCUCAUCGCUGUAAGGAUCCUUAAACGUUUUGUGCCAGAUUCUCAACCAGCGUAAAUCACUGUCGCUCCAUGGACCCAGCUGAAGAUGUGAUGUGGGCGUGGCACAGCCAUUGUGCAAAUGCUGUUCAGGACCACAGACCACCUUCAUCCUAAUCAUGAGAGAUGUCCUGAGCAGCCUGAGUCAGCGAGAGGCACCCAGAUGACAUCACCACCUCUACCAGCUCCAGCUGAAUCCCAAAUGCCACCUCGGAUGAAACAGGACUGGACUUUAACUGCAGCAGCAGCUCCAGCUCAUCUCAGCUAACUUCUCUUUUCCCCAUAGGAUGGUUAUUGCCAUCUUUAUCAUCAUCAUCUAAGAGACCAUGAGACACAGGGGCUUUGCCUUCUAAAAACUCUCUCCAGCUCAAGGGAAAGGGAACAAGGGUUGUUGUUAAAAUGAAAGCCUCACUUAAUACUUAACUUGUCAAAUGCUUUAACUGAUUUCCCUUCUUCUCUUGACCUUUAAUAAGAGGUUAAAAUAAUUUGUAAAAGUGUGUUUGCCACAGACCGUGCUAAGCAAUAUGAGGUCUCUAUAGAACAAAGCCCCAAAGUUAUUUAAUGCUGUUUAGUGUUGGACAGUGAUGGUGCUAUGUUAACACCUUUGGCUCAAGUACUCCAUGUAAAUUAAUACAAAAUUUUUGGGUUCCCAAUGUGGGACCCAAACGGUUAAAUACAUACUCAGAAGCUGGCACCUUGGCAAACAAGCAAUUGUUUCCAAAGUUAGUUUAAAACAAAAGUGUUUUAAAAUUCUUAAAUGUGUUGAGUUUGAGAUAAACAUGCAAAACAAACUGAACAUUUUUGCUUUAAAACAAUUGUUAACCCUCUCUUUUUUCUAGUUAUUCUUAAAAAAAAAAAAUCUUGUAAAAUGCUUGGGUUAAUUUUUUUCCCUUUGUGUUUUUGAGGUUUGUAGUUUCUGUGAUUGGUAAUUUAAGAAAAAGUAAAAGGAAUGAGUUGUUUAAAAUUGUUGAAGGUUAAGUGACUAAAGCAGACUUCCUGAAAUAACAUCUUAAUUCUCUUCUUAAGAAAAUGCCAGCUUUACUCUGGGCUGCUGUUGCAUUAACCGUGAAUUAAAUCUCAGACCACCAGAACCCAGGGUUCCUGGAGCACCAAACUUUGGGGGGGGGGUUGGUGAUUGUUUUGGUUUUGCGAUGCUUUUUAACUUGUUGCUUUUGUGCUUUAGCAAAGGGUCCCCCCCCACCACACACUUUUGGUUUUUAUGUCAAUGAUUUCUGUUAUUCUCAGCACAGUGCUAGUGUUGUAGCUCAGAUCCCCAGAAUGGGCUAAGUUGCCAAGAUGGCCAUGUUGUCCUCACAAAUGAUGGUGGUAAAAUGCAUGCGCAAGAUCUAACAUUGCUCAUGGAUGCAAAAGUGGUUCCAAAAGAACAUCUUUUUGUUGCUUCUUUUUAAGAGGCAACACACUUGGUUAAAAAUGCCCUCAGGGCUAAAGUUUUUCUCCAAGUGACCAAGCUUAACCUCCAGUGCCUAAAAUCUUCCUGGGUUGUGUAAAUGUACAGCCUUUACUGUGUAAGCAGCAAAAGGGGUGCCGGGGAGGAGUUCUUUCUAUUAUUACCUACUCUGGGCAUACAGCCAAAGAAGUGAGAAGGGCUGGUUUGUUCUUAAACAUCUUACA